GCUCAGUCCCACCUGGGAAAUUGAGUCGCGUUUCUUAAAUGCAGCGAGGGGGGAAAGAGAAGGCUACCGAAAACUUCAAGACAGGAUAUGACAUCAGAGGAGGCGGAGAAAGCAAAUCACGAGGUUAGGAAGAAGCGGAAGCGGGGAGCAAAUUCUCUGCCUGGCUCAGUGUCGCCUUGGGGCGUCUUUCCUGCGGCCGCUAAAAGGGCCGUUGCACGCAGAGAUGACGAGUGACGACCUCAAGGCGCAGCGGGCCGUCCUGUGGUCCCGUCGGUUUUCUCUGCUGUACGCGAUGGGAGUGUGGACGUUUAUUGGGUAUUUCGUGUCCCGGUCAGUUCGUUUCAGGGAGAUACCACUGGAGCAAAAGAAGGAGGAAGGCGAGCAGUCAUCGCCGCCACCACCGCCGCCUCUCGAUCACAACGAAUAUUCCAGAAGUGUUUGACAGGAGCAGAAAAUCAAGACUCAACUGGAUUCAAAUUAAGAGCAAAAAACUACUACAUCUGAUUUUGUGCCAUAUUCUUCUCAUUUCCAUAAUAGAAUGCUGACACUUUUUUAUUAUAAUCCUGGGAAAGAAAAUUAAAAUAUUGGAAAAAAAGAAGAAGUGAAGUGUCAGUGUCUAACUUUUAUUAAAAAGUUGCAUGAGAUCUGAUUUUGAAACAACAGUAAUUGGAAAAUACUGUGUUCUGUCAGCUUAUGAAACUGUAACCUGUUUCAUCUUCGUGCAUUUGAAUAUAUGGAAUAUAUAUAUAUAUUUUUGUUUAUAAUUUAUUUUAAUACCUUUUCCUGAAAUUCUACUAGCGUGUGUUUGAAAUCCUAAAGAAGAGUAAAUGUGAUUGAUUCCUUAUUUCCUCUUACAGAAACCAUAAAUAUUUUUCCCAUAGAGCUUGGUGCUUAUGAUAGCUAUCUUUGUUUUCAAGGAUAAAGAAUUUCUGUAGCACUUACCUUGAUGUUGAAGUUGGGAAAAGUUAUUAGAUAGUUUCUGAAUAGGGUGGAAGUAACUUUUGACCUUGCAGGUUUCAGAUCCUCCCGGUUGCCAGAUACAGUUCAGGCCAGCUAUACUACACUUGCUGGUUUCAUGACAAGGAAUACAUCAACUUUUUUGAACAAAGUUUAUAAAGGCAUAUGCGGUAUUUUGGACUUUAAAAAAACUAAAAUGCCAUAUUCCUUACCAUACAAUGAGUUUCAAGAAGGCUUGUUCUCUUCAACCCUACCUAUAUCAUUUUUCAACAUACUUGAAAUGGAACAGUUUAUAAAUGGUUUUUCUCUGUGUCUGAAUAAGACAAGGUAUAGUUCAACAAUGUUAUGUAUGAAGUGAAAAUAAGAUACUUCUCUUUAAUAUUUUGCCCAAAGUCUCAUUAACUGGUUUAGUAGGCUGUAUACGUACAUGGUAUUUUGCUUGUUAUUAACAGAAGAGUUAAUAACAGAGUUAUUAAUCCUCUGAUGUGAGGAUUAAUAUGUAAAAGGAUUAAGCAUAAGAAAAAGCUGAAGCAAAUGUAUCUGAAAAAACUCUGAAGUUUGCCUAAUCAUGAUAGAUUUAUGAGCUGUAUUGCUCCUUUGUGCCUUUGAGCAUUUGCUUGAUUAUUUGAUGGAAGCUGGCAUUUUUAGAAUUUAUAUCAACCUCAAAAUAAAGGUAUUCAAUGUA